rnacentral:rRNA from 1 species
CCUACGGGCGGCUGCAGUGGGGAAUAUUGGACAAUGGGGGCAACCCUGAUCCAGCCAUGCCGCGUGUGUGAAGAAGGCCCUCGGGUUGUAAAGCACUUUCAGUGAGGAAGAACGCCUGGUGGUUAAUACCCAUCAGGAAAGACAUCACUCACAGAGGAAGCACCGGCUAACUCCGUGCCAGCAGCCGCGGUAAUACGGAGGGUGCGAGCGUUAAUCGGAAUUACUGGGCGUAAAGCGCGCGUAGGUGGCUUGAUAAGCCGGUUGUGAAAGCCCCGGGCUCAACCUGGGAACGGCAUCCGGAACUGUCAAGCUAGAGUGCAGGAGAGGAAGGUAGAAUUCCCGGUGUAGCGGUGAAAUGCGUAGAGAUCGGGAGGAAUACCAGUGGCGAAGGCGGCCUUCUGGACUGACACUGACACUGAGGUGCGAAAGCGUGGGUAGCAAACAGGAUUAGAUACCCCAGUAGUC